rnacentral:rRNA from 1 species
GACGAACGCUGGCGGCGUGCUUAACACAUGCAAGUCGAACGAUGAACCACUUCGGUGGGGAUUAGUGGCGAACGGGUGAGUAACACGUGGGCAAUCUGCCCUUCACUCUGGGACAAGCCCUGGAAACGGGGUCUAAUACCGGAUAACACUGCCACGGGCAUCUGUGGUGGUUAAAAGCUCCGGCGGUGAAGGAUGAGCCCGCGGCCUAUCAGCUUGUUGGUGAGGUAAUGGCCACCAAGGCGACGACGGGUAGCCGGCCUGAGAGGCGACCGGCCACACUGGGACUGAGACACGGCCAAACUCCUACGGGAGGCAGCAGUGGGGAAUAUUGGACAAUGGCGCAAGCCUGAUCCAGCCAUGCCGCGUGAGUGAUGAAGGCCCUAGGGUUGUAAAGCUCUUUCGCCGGUGAAGAUAAUGACGGUAACC